rnacentral:rRNA from 1 species
GACGAACGCUGGCGGCGUGCCUAAUACAUGCAAGUUGAGCGCUGAAGGUUGGUACUUGUCCCCACUGGAUGAGCAGCGAACGGGUGAGUAACGCGUGGGGAAUCUGCCUUUGAGCGGGGGACAACAUUUGGAAACGAAUGCUAAUACCGCAUAAAAACUUUAAACACAAGUUUUAAGUUUGAAAGAUGCAAUUGCAUCACUCAAAGAUGAUCCCGCGUUGUAUUAGCUAGUUGGUGAGGUAAAGGCUCACCAAGGCGAUGAUACAUAGCCGACCUGAGAGGGGGAUCGGCCACAGUGGGACUGAGACACGGCCCAAACUCCUACGGGAGGCAGCAGGAGGGAAUCUUCGGCAAUGGACGAAAGUCUGACCGAGCAACGCCGCGGGAGUGAAGAAGGGUUUCGGAUCGUAAAACUCUGUUGGUAGAGAAGAACGUUGGUGAGAGUGGAAAGCUCAUCAAGUGACGGUAACUACCCAGAAAGGGACGGCUAACUACGUG